CGCCGGCGCGUGCGCAUUGGGGGCUGCCCCGCGCGCCCCCUCAGGGCGCAGGGUGGUCCGACCCCCCCCCCCAAAGAUAAAGGUCCUCCCCGUAAUCACUGGGGGCUUUGUGGUGGUUAAAAUCUAGCUGAUCUGUAGGGGACAAAAUUAAUGUUUUGGGGGGGUAAAAUCUGAGUUAAUCGGUAAGGGAGAGAAUGGACACGCUGAGGUGGUCGGCAGUGGACGGGAAGGGAGAGAACGGGCGUUUUGAGGUAAACUGGGGUAAUCAGUAAUAGAAAGGGAGAAUUUUAGGGGUAAAACUUGAGAGAAUGAACGUUUUGAGGUAAACUGGGGUGAUCAGUAGUGGAAAGGAAGGGAGAAUUUUGGGCGUAAAACUUGAGGAGAAAGAAUGGAUGUAUUGAAGUGAAAUGAGAUUAUCCGCAGUGGAAAGGAAAGAAUUUUAGAGGUAAAACCUGAGGAGAGAGAAUGUACGUUUUGAGGUAAACUGAGGUAAUCAGUAAUGAAAAGGGAGAAUUUUAGGGAUAAAACUUGAGAGAAUGAACGUUUUGAGGUAAACUGAGGUGAUCCGUAGGGGAAAGGAAGGGAGAAAUUUAGGAGUAAAACUUGAGGGGAGAGAAUGGACAUAUUGAGGUAAACGGAGGUGAUCAGUAGUGGAAAGGAAGGGAGAAUUUUAGGGGUAAAACCUGAGGGCAGAGAAUGGAUGUUUUGAGGUAAACUCAGGUGAUCAGUAGUGGAAUGGAAGGGAGAAUUUUAGGGGUAAAACCUGAGGGGAGAGAACGGACAUUUUGAGGUAAACAGAGAUAAUCAGUAAUGGAAAGGUAGGGAAAGUUUUGGGGGUAAAACUUGAGGUCAUCUGUAAGACAACAGGAAUAUUUUGAAGGAAAAAUCUGAGGUAAUCUUUAGGGGCAGAAUGAACAUUUUGGGAAUAAGGUAAAUGUAGUCAUUGGGGUUUUAUGGUGGCUAAAAUCUAGGCAAUCUAUAGGAGACAAAAAUUAUAUUUUAGGGGUAAAAUCUGUAAGGUAAUCUGUAGGGGAGAGAAUGAACAUUUUGAGGUGAAAAUGAAGUAAUCAGUAGUGGACAGGUAGGGAAAUUUUUGGGGAGCUAAAAUUCAAAUAAUCUGCCUGAGGGAGGCGCCUGGCAGGAGUCUGUCCCUGAACAGGUGCUCCAAAGGUGCUGUGUCUGUGAGUGGUGGUGUGGAAAUACCUGUCCAAACUGCACCCACACCCAGGGAAGAGCCAGAAAGGAAAGGCUGAAGGAGAGAGGCAGCAGCAGGGUUUUAUCUCCAAGGGGUGAAUCAGCAAGACGUUUGGUCCUGCUCCCAAGGGAUGUCUUUAUGCCUGCUCCUGUGUUGGCAGACCCGAGGCUGCUGUUUGUGUCUCUAACAGCAGAUAGAUCAG